UUUUUUUUUUUUUUUUUUUUUUGCUUUGACUUGCGCAAAUUGCAUGAAGU
rnacentral:ribozyme from 1 species